UUAUUUUUGUGUUGCUAUGAGCUAUUACCCUCAAAACUCUGGGAUUUCGUCACUGCCUUGUGAAAACCAAAAGGCAGACGCUCUACUCCCUAUAUAGGUACUAACAAACUUAUAAGGCUGUGUUUCCAAAAAAAAAGACGAUGAUUUAUCAAAUUGAUUUUCCUUUUCAUUGCAUAAAUCGAUCCUUUUAAUGUCUCUUUUACCCAUAAAUUCAUGUGACUUCUUGUGUCGCGUGAGAUCUCGUCACCAUAUGAGAGUAGCACAUCAAAACAGCAUGGCAGAAGCACUGAAAUCAGCGUCAACAAGCUUGAAUGUCGAUGCGUGGAAGUUUGGAGGUUAAAAAAAAA